rfam:Trichinella nativa scaffold148s, whole genome shotgun sequence.
AGNCUACCCACCCCAUUGUCAGUUUUCCCGCUACCAAUAUAUAUAUAUAUAUAUAUAUAUAUAUAUAUAUAUAUAUAUAUAUAUAUAUAUAUAUAUAUAUAUAUUGGUAGCGGGAAAACUGACAAUGGGGUGGGUAGGCU